rnacentral:misc_RNA from 1 species
GAUGAAGAACGCAGCGAAAUGCGAUAAGUAAUGUGAAUUGCAGAAUUCAGUGAAUCAUCGAAUCUUUGAACGCACAUUGCGCCCCCCAGUAUUCUGGCGGGCAUGCCUGUUCGAGCGUCAUUUCAACCAUCAAGCCCUGCUUGUGUUGGGGUCCUGCGGCUGCCCGCAGGCCCUGAAAACCAGUGGCGGGCUCGCUAGUCACACCGAGCGCAGUAGCACAUCUCGCUCAGGGCGUGCGGCGGGCUCCAACCGUUAAAGCACCCACCUUUCGCAAGGUUGACCUCGGAUCAGGUAGGAAUACCCGCUGAACUUAAGCAUAUCAAUAAGCGGAGGA